GAUCAAGGGAUGAGGACACUGCAACAAUUUGAUGGAUUUAUCCUUCCGUGAUGUAAAUGGAAUUUAAGUCUCUGAUGAUC